UGCCUAGAAGUCCAGUGGUUAGGACUCUGUGCUUCUGCUGCUGGGGGCCCAGGUUCAAUCCCUGGUCAGGCAA
rnacentral:tRNA from 1 species